rnacentral:rRNA from 1 species
AUUGAACGCUGGCGGCAGGCUUAACACAUGCAAGUCGAGCGGGGUGAUGGUGCUUGCACUAUCACUUAGCGGCGGACGGGAGAGUAAUGCUUAGGAAUCUGCCUAUUAGUGGGGGACAACAUCUCGAAAGGGAUGCUAAUACCGCAUACGUCCUACGGGAGAAAGCAGGGGAUCACUUGUGACCUUGCGCUAAUCGAUGAGCCUAAGUCGGAUUAGCUAGUUGGUGGGGUAAAGGCCUACCAAGGCGACGAUCUGCAGCGGGUCUGAGAGGAUGAUCCGCCACACUGGGACUGAGACACGGCCCAGACUCCUACGGGAGGCAGCAGUGGGGAAUAUUGGACAAUGGGGGGAACCCCGAUCCAGCCAUGCCGCGUGUGUGAAGAAGGCCUUAUGGUUGUAAAGCACUUUAAGCGAGGAGGAGGCUCUUUUGGUUAAUACCCAAGAUGAGUGGACGUUACUCGCAGAAUAAGCACCGGCUAACUCUGUGCCAGCCGCCGCCGUAA